GUCUACAGCCACGCCACCCUGAACAAGCCCCAUGUCUAAUCUCAGAAGCUAAGCAGGGUCAGGCCUGGUUAGUACUUGGAUGGGAGACCACCUAGAAAGGCCAGGUGCUGUAGGCA
rnacentral:rRNA from 1 species